rnacentral:sRNA from 1 species
UUCCUGCUGCCGCUCUAGCUCCUGCCGCUGCUGCUCCAGCUCCUGCUCUGACCCCAGGUCCACUGGCAUGAGCUCCAGUUCCACCUCUUCCUCCUCCUCUGGCUCCAGUGGAGGAGGCUGCUGCUGCUGUAGCUGUUCCUGAUGCUGUUGCAAUAGCUGUUGCUGUUGCUGCUGCUGUAACUGCUCCUGCUGCUGCAGCAAUAGCUGCUGCUGUAUCUGUGCCUGCUGCUGCUGCAGGAGCUGCUGCUGUAACUGUGCCUGUUGUUGGUGCUGCAACAACUG